rnacentral:rRNA from 1 species
UACGUAGGGGGCGAGCGUUGUCCGAAGUUACUGGGCGUAAAGCGCGCGUAGGCGGGUUAUUAAGUUGGAUGUGAAAUCUCCACGGCUCAACCGGGAAACCGCAUCCAAAACUGGUAGCCUUGAGGUAUGGAGAGGGAAGUGGAAUUCCUGGUGUAGCGGUGAAAUGCGUAGAUAUCAGGAGGAACACCCGUGGCGAAGGCGGCUUCCUGGCCAUAUCCUGACGCUGAGGUGCGAAAGCCAGGGGAGCGAACGGG